rnacentral:rRNA from 1 species
UACGAAGGGUGCAAACGUUGCUCGGAAUCAUUGGGCGUAAAGCGCACGUAGGCGGCUCCAAAAGUCGGAUGUGAAAUCCCUGGGCUCAACCGAGGAAGUGCAUCCGAAACUGCGGAGCUUGAGUAUGGAAGAGGGUCGCGGAAUUCCCGGUGUAGAGGUGAAAUUCGUAGAUAUCGGGAGGAACACCAGUGGCGAAGGCGGCGGCCUGGGCCAAUACUGACGCUGAGGUGCGAAAGCGUGGGGAGCAAACAGG